rnacentral:rRNA from 1 species
UGGGGAAUAUUGGACAAUGGGCGCAAGCCUGAUCCAGCAAUGCCGCGUGAGUGAUGAAGGCCUUAGGGUUGUAAAGCUCUUUCGCCCGCGACGAUGAUGACGGUAGCGGGAGAAGAAGCCCCGGCUAACUUCGUGCCAGCAGCCGCGGUAAUACGAAGGGGGCGAGCGUUGUUCGGAUUUACUGGGCGUAAAGGGCGCGUAGGCGGCCGAUCAAGUCAGGCGUGAAAGCCCCGGGCUCAACCUGGGAAUGGCGCUUGGGACUGGUUGGCUUGAGUUCGGGAGAGGAGCGUGGAAUUCCCAGUGUAGAGGUGAAAUUCGUAGAUAUUGGGAAGAACACCGGUGGCGAAGGCGGCGCUCUGGACCGAGACUGACGCUGAGGCGCGAAAGCGUGGGGAGCAAACAGGAUUAGAUACCCCCGUAGUCC